GCUGGGCGUGGUGGCGCACACCUGUUAUCCCAGCUACUCUGGAGGCUGAGGCAGGAGGAUUUCAGGUUUGAGGCCAGCUUCAGCAACUUGGUGAUACCCUACCUCAA
rnacentral:sRNA from 1 species